UUACAACAGAACAUUUGGGUCUCAAAUUGCCAAACUUAAAAAAAGUAUUUCCCUUCAGAGUCAGGCUGAAGACAAUAAGGUUUAAGAAGCAGAUUUUCUAGCUCAUUCACACUGGUCUAAUACAGCUGUGUCAGGACCUGUAGAAUGAGUAUUUCAAGUUCCACCUCAUCUCUGCAGAAGUCAUUGGGGGAAGAAAAGUGCUAUCACUUUGUGAAAAGUUCUUGUCAAGACAAAAAUUGAAUGGAAGCAGUUUGGAACAGUUGCCAGUAUUUUCUCAAGGGGAUUUGUGAGCAGAAAAAUGUGACAUUAAGUGGCAAUUUUCUUUUUCUUAAUAAACAGCAUAGUCUGUAGGAAAUGUUGCUGGUUGGAACUUGCUUUCUGGCUCCAUUCCUCAUUCAGACCUGCUGCAGCUAGCAAACAGAAUCCUACAGGGACACCCCAUACACGAGGCCCCAGAGAGGAAAAGAACCUCUAACAUUCUGUUUUAAUGGGAUACUUGCCAGUGGGUAAGUUCAAAGUGCAGUUUCCAGUAAUUUGCUGCAACUAUUUGGCGCAUUUGAUAGGUCAGGACAGAAGCAUGGAACCUGAAGUAAUAUUUCCUGAAUUCUAUCAUUUGUGAAAAUGACUAGAGGUCACUGAGGGACAUGGAAUCGGAAAGGUUUUUAAUUGUCACUUUUUGAUUUUUUUUUCUCCUUUUGUCAAGUUAUACCUCAUGUAAAUGUUGACCCUGAACUUGGAUGUAAUUUGUGUGUAAUGUUUCUUAACAGAAAUAUUUUCUGUGCUUCUUCCAGGAGCUGCCUCAUCUUGCCUGCACCCCCCCCCCACCUUUAUUCUCCCCAUCCCUGUCUCUCCCGUUUUCCUUCCACUUCAUUCUUUCCAAUUCCUACUCUUCACUUCAAACUUCAGGUUUAUGGAAUUUUAGCUUACUUAAAAAUUGAUUUCACACAGUAUUCCUUAUACAUUUUUUUAAAAAUAUUUUAGAAAACCAUACGAUUUUUACAUGACCAUUUCUGCAUAUUCUGUAACUAUAAUUUGUAUAAAGGCAGAGGAAGCUGCAUUAGGCAUCAGCAGCCCUAAACAUUGGUUAAACAGCAGAGAGCAAAUCCCAGCAAUUUCAACCGUAAUUAGGUUUGCAUUUGUAGGAUGUCAGUCCUGUGUACGUGCUCUAGCUGUACUUAGCUAGACUAACCCAUUGCACGUAUUUCAGCACUGUGUGUUGGAAGAAGCAGCUUAAUUUUUUUUGUGUACUAAGGACCAAACAUUGGAAGGAUUACUGAAUUACAUUGCUGAACAUUCUAAGGCAGGUGUUUCUCUGAGGCUAUAGCUGGCCAGAAAGCAAAGAUCAGGUGGGGAGCACUUCUGUCUCCCUGCCAGUUGUUACCUUGGGAUUUCCCAUGGCUGGUAAUAAUUAGGGUCAGAUGUGCUGAAGCACCAUGCGCAUAAUGGGUAUGUGACUUAUGAUGUAUUUCUGACCAAUUCAAGUUUUGCUGCAAACUUCCAGUGGUAAAUACCAUUAAUUAGAUUUUUCUUGGAUCACCUUGACUGUGAAUUGAUAUUUGCACAACAUUGGAAGUAGGGCAUUUACGUUUUCACUUGUCACAGUUUGAGAGAAAAUAAAAAUAUUU